ensembl:ncRNA asRNA:CR44115 antisense RNA:CR44115
CGCCGACGUUGGUGGUGGUGCUCCGUACUGUGGUUGUUGUUGCUGCUGCUGCGGAGGCAGUUGUUGCUGCGGCGGCUGCUGCUGCGGUAGUUGUUGUUGCUGCGGUGGCCAACCUCCGGAAUUCGGAGGAGGAGCCCCAAACUGGGGUUGCUGCUGGAACUGCGUGGGCGGUGGCCCGUACAUAUUCGGAUUCAUUUCUGGCCCGGAUUAAUCACCUGGGUUUUAGCGGAGAGGGUCGACGCUAAGCCAACAAACAACUUUCACGGAAAACGAAGAGAAAACACACACGGAUUGGCUCAAAGUUCGCCACGGCGAUUUAGCAAUUUCGGGGGCUGCUCGGCCUGAUUCCUGACCACUGACUCCUCGAUUUUGGCCACUCGGUGUUGGCCUCAACUCUCGACGGCCGCGGCGGACGAUCGCUGGUUGAAAAACAAGAAUAAUUUCGAGCUAAACGAACUUCCACGUCAGUUCCCUAAUUCGAUCUUUUUUGCUCUUUUUGCCUUGCCACGUAAGCUAUCGGUAAUCGGCAGUGGAAAAUCGAAUGUCAAUCGAUUGUGCUCUUUCGGCUGCCAUCGCCGAAUCGAUAAUCGUGUUGAACUUAACAGCGCUGCUGUUAGCGAACAGCUGCGAGUUAUGUUAUGUGUAAGGUGGUGCAAUAGAAUGCAGUGACGUCAUU